rnacentral:lncRNA from 1 species
GACGGUGACGACGUCCUUGAGCGUGGCGUUGGCGGGGAGGCGCCAGUAGUCGAUGGCGAUGGCCGGGGCAGGGACGUUGUCGAUCUUGCCGGCCUCGAGGUCCUUGAGGAACUCGGUGUACGAGUGGAUGGCCUCCUCCUCGAGGUAGCCGACGACGCGGUGCGCGAACUUGGGGGAGAGGAGGUAACCCAGGAAGUAGGCGUUGAAGAAGACGCCCUGGACGGUGAUGACGAGGGCGCGCUCGUACCACUUUGGGUUCGCCACCUCCAUGAAGGUCAUCAGGUGCAUGCGCUCGUUCUCGGCCUCUUCCAGCAGCGUGCGGAUCCAGCCGCCGCUCUGCUCGAAGCGCCGGAGGGACCGGAGGUGGAGCAGCAUGCCGCCCACCAUCCCCGGCACCGCCGCCACCGUCUCCAGCAUCAUCGCGCGGCAGCCAUACCUCCUCUGCACCCAACCCAAUUUGCAGUGUUAACCAUUGACAGUUACAGCAAUUAGCGACCGACUAGAGAUCAUUUCCACAUACUACUAGAAAUGGAUAUCAUGUAAUAUAAUUGUUCUUCCAAAUUAGUCAUAAGACAUUAGAAUCAUAUAUAGAUUAAUUUGCACUAGGAAACAAUUGGAUCACCAGUCAUUGUAGUGCAAACAGUAAUAAGCCUAUGAUUGAUUUAAUGGGCAAGAGAUUAACAAAUCAAAGUUGAGUCCUUCUCACAAUGCGUGUCCUUUUCUUAGCCGUUGUUAUCAGAUAGUAUAGCGGAAAAUAAAAGGACAGGGAUUUUCUACACCUAAGUGCUAUGACACCCAUCAUUUGCAUGCGACUCAAAUAGUUAUAGAAAAAAUUGAAAAAAAAAUUAGUAACAUCGAUUGUGAUGAUAUAAGUCUAUACACAAACAUGCAUGACUAAAUUUGAUCUAUAACUAGAGAAACAAAAAUAAUAAAAUCAGACAGUGAAUAGUACCCGAAGAGCGCAUAUAAAAUUUAUUAUUUUUGUUUCUUCAUAUGUUGAUCGAAUUUAGACUUACAUGUUUGUAUAAUGUUUGUAAAUUUUUUUAUAACGGUUUAAAUUGCAUGCAUACACAUAGGUGCCAUGUUACCUAGGUGUAGAAAAUACUUUCCGAAAAUAAAAUCAAUCACACAGGUGGAUCAGGUAGAACCCAGGCGUCCUAAAUACAAAUGGCAUCUUCCCGGAAGCAAGGAAACCAAAAUUCUCAAGUGCCCUGGUUGCAAUGCUACUUUGCCUCUUAUGACACGCCAAGAGUCACGCGGCCUCUCAGUUUUUCCCUUCGAAAAAAACGUUGAACUAAACACACAGCGCUAAUCACCCGGAGAAUCAAACGGCCGUCGGGCGGUGCAUGGUGAUCGAGUAAGCACAAUUAUACCUGGAAGAAGAUAUCAGUGGGGAAGCGCAGCGACUUGACGGUCCAGUAGGCGAUCUUGUCGAGCAGCGUCUUGGGCACGUGGUGCUUCGUCAGAUCGAUCGAAGUGUCCGCGGUGUAGGUCUCCCAUGGCUGCGGAGAAAAUCAAACCAAAAUUACACACGGCGGCGCGACAAGUUAAGGACCGAGCCUACUAUCUCGGAGUAUGGAUACAUCGAUCUGGCGAUCAAUCUACGGGACAAACAGAAUCGAAACAGGAAACCGAUCAGGAGCAAAGCGAAGCGCAAGUACCCUAAAGCAAGACCACUUCCACUCCGUGCCGUCCUCCCGCACCAGCUUCUUCGACUGCUCGAUGCCCCAGUAGCUGUUGACCACCACCUCCUUCUCCGCGUCCGCCUUCUUGGCCUCCGCCUUGGCCGCCGCCUCCGUCGACGCCACGGACGACGUGGACAUCAGCCGCAACCCCCACACCCCGGGGACGGCUUCUCCGCCUGCAAGGAACGGCCUCGCCGCCGCCGCCGCCGCCGCCGCCGGAGAGGUCGCCGACGCGGUGAAGAGGCGGACGCCGCCGACGUGACGGAGGAUCGCCGAUCCGGCCAUCCGGGAGCUCAUCGCCGCCGUUGAUGUACCCCGAAACGCACGGCUUGACAACACCAAAAAGUUUGGGAGGAAUUCUUAGAGGCGCCUUUUUGUUGACGAGAUGGUUGCGAUUUGCAAAUGGAGAGGGUUUUUUUGGGAGGGUUUUAUAUAGGGAGGAAGAGCGAAAGGAGAGGAACCGGUGGUGGGGCCACACCGUCAGUGACGGGGGAGAUGGGCUUUCCUCGGGCUUUCCCGACUCUGAGGAAAUCUUUUCUUCUUCUCCAAGUUGAUCGGUUAGUAGUACUGUAGCAGUACUACUAAUUCUUGUGAUUUUUUUUUUCAAACUGCCUGUGACUAAUAAUAAAAGGUUCACAUGUGUUUUAUCGCCAAAUUAAAGUAUGUGAUGUGUCGUUGGUACACGCAUCACAUGUUGAUUGAGUUUUUUUUUUCUUAGGAUGGUACUACUGCCUAAUAUCAAAAGAGGCUAAUAUAACAAAGUGCACAAAGUCAAUGUAAAAAAAUGCGUCACUUGUACAGGUGGAGUACAAGUGUACGUACUACAAGUAGAAUAUUCCGUUUAGAACCAUUUCACACCAAGGAUAGUAAUGCGCAAGCAAUUUGCAAGUGCCCGGUAGUACAAGGAAAACGGAACGUACAACAAAGCCAAAGCCAAACUGGAAACGAAUCCUGAUUCUGUUGCUUGUCUUGUGGACCAAGAAAGACUCCAACCAUCCAGGAUGGCAGUCAAAUUAGGCAACUUCUAUUAUUAGAUCCUUAAUCUAACCACUGACAAUUCCAGAACGUGACUAAACAGCUCUAUUGCUAAUUGCGACUAGUAUACGCAGCUAGAAACAUCUGGGAUGUUGCUUUUGGAAAGUGCCUCCAUGGCGGUGUACGUACGUGCUUGCCACAUGAACCACAAUCUGAAUAAGCAAACGUGUCAAUGGUGUUAUCGCUCAUGACAACUCAGUAAGUGUUUAUACGCCCGUAAUAUAUAACGCACACAAGGGAAAUAACAAUCCAGUGCUUGUAUGCGCAUAAUGGACACAAAAGGAAAUAUCAAGCGUAGCGUGGGCGUGGAUUCUAAGGGGACAUCCCCUCGUCGGUUUAAGUUCUAAGUUUAACACGGGAGCUCAAAUUUAUUUUUCAGUGAUAGGUGAUAACAUUUCACAGCGAGGUGCCUAUAUGGUAUCUAUAUGGUAUAUACCGGUCCAGUCUUCGUCUGCCAAUAAUAAUGAAUACUAAAAGAAAAGGGAUUAAAUGUAACACACCAACUUUUUAUUACUGAAGUGGAGAGGGAAUAUUGGGAUGAAUAAAAAAUAAUCGACAUUUAAAAUUAUAUCAACUUAUGGCACCUCCUUAAUUAAAAAAUGUAAAAUGGCUUAAAGAAAUUAUUUUUCUACACUUACUUCCAUAAAAAAAAUCCUGACUGAUUUUUCAAGUUAGGAGUUGAUUUUUCUAAGACAGAUGGUGAAUUGCAGGUGAGCCAUUGUGUUUGUGCUUCUUUGGUGAUUUUUUUCUGAGGGCAUAUUGAAAUCAAGAGUCCAGAAAAAGAAAAAAGUUUAGUGUGAAUGGUAUUUGAACUUGUCUAAAAGAGAUUCCAUUUGCCUUUACACAUUUGGACUGGAUGUUUGGUCUUGGUUGUGUGCACGGGUCAGCCAACGGCCAUGCUUCCUUUGUUAGCAGCAGAGCAUCUUGACAAGUGUUACCUGCUGCAAUUCUGAACACGUGGAUACUUCUACUCCAAAAAAAAUCUUACUAUAUUGUUAUUCACAAUUUGCAUAAUCUCAGCAUGCAUAUAGGUACAGGCAUAAAACGGAGUGACAAUAGCUUAUUUACAUAUAUACACAGAACAAAGUUUAUCCCAAAUAGGAUGUAAAAUACGCAUGUAGUAGCAGUGAUGGUGAUGAACUGAGCAGGCAUCGCCCGUUGAUGAAUGAUGAUCAGUGAUACCCGAUAGGCGCAGGCGUAUCCUUCAGCUUCAUCCCCUGUUGCUGGAUGUCCUGCACAAGUGAUGUACCAACACGAGAAACGCGAUCGGUUAGCUCAAACCCGUUCACACAAAAAUUAAGCAGGCGAGAUUGGUUGUUUUCAGGCUGGCAUAUGCGUACCGAUGCGAAAUGGUUGAGGUCGCGGUGGUGCGCCUCGUCGGCGCGGAUGACGGUGACGACGUCCUUGAGCGUGGCGUCGGCGGGGAGGCGCCAGUAGUCGAUGGCGAUGGCCGGCGCCGGCGUGUUCUCGAUCUUGCCGGCCUCGAGGUCCUUGAGGUACUCGGUGUACGAGCUCACGGCCUCCUCCUCGAGGUAGCCGACGAAGCGGUGCGCGAACUUGGGGGAGACGAGGUAGCCGACGAAGUAGGCGUUGAAGAAGACGCCCUGCGCGGCGAGCACGAGGGCG